rnacentral:rRNA from 1 species
AUGAGCUCUAGUGCCGUCGGCCUCAACCUCGGCGCCCCACCAACAGAGAAGCUCGCAAGGGGGAACUACCUCCUAUGGAAGGCGCAAGUUCUGCCGGCCCUGCGAGGCGCGCAUGUGACCGGUCUUCUCGACGGCAGCGAUGCAGCGCCGCCGAAAACAGUGGAGGUCGCUAAGGCAGACAAAACCACGGCCAUCGAGCUGAAUCCACUUUAUAGUCCAUGGAUUGCCAAAGAUCAGCAGGUCCUAAGUUAUCUGCUAAAUUCGCUCACUCCAGAAAUCCUCGCGCAAGUUAUCGGUAAGGAAAGUACCCUUGAUCUAUGGACCGCCCUUACCACGAUGUUUGCUGCGCAGUCGCAAUCGCGAAUAACAAACCUGAGGAUCGCCAUCUCCAACACCAAGAAGGGCAACAUGUCCGGCAAUGCUUUCAUCACCAAGAUGAAGAGCCUCGGAGACGAGCUUGCGGCAGCGGGUCGUCCGGUGAUAGAUGGAGAGAUGGUGGACUACAUCCUCGCCGGACUUGAUCGGGAUUACGAUCCCAUCGUUGCAGCAGUUGGCGCCAUCAAGAAUUUAAUCUCUGUUGAUGAUCUUUUCUCGCAGAUAUCCGCCUUUGAUCAGAGGAUGGAGAUGCUUGGCGACGGACCAGGCUUUCGUUCAUCAGCCAAUGCCAUGUACAGGGGCGCGGCCAGUCUCGGGGCAGAGGAGGCCGCGGACGUAGAGGGCGUGGUCGCUCUGAUCGUGCUCCCUCUUCUCCUGUUCGCACCGGUGGGAACAACGGCUACCAGCAGCGUCAACGCCAGCCACCGCAGCAGCAGUAUCAGCAGCAGCAUGAGGAGGAUUACCCCGAGUGCCAGAUAUGUUACAAAUUCCAUGCUGGUGGCGCCAGGGACUGCUGGGAUCGGUACAAGGAAGAUCGUCAGGAAAGGAAGAAGGUUAACCUCGUCACCAAUUCGUAUGGCAUCGACACUAAUUGGUAUGCAGAUUUGGGUGCCACCGAACAUAUCACAGGAGAGCUUGAUAAGCUGA